UACGAGGGGGGCAAGCGUUGUUCGGAAUUAUUGGGCGUAAAGCGCACGUAGGCGGCUUUGCAAGUUAGAGGUGAAAGCCCGGGGCUCAACUCCGGAAUUGCCUUUAAAACUGCAUCGCUAGAAUUGUGGAGAGGUAAGUGGAAUUCCGAGUGUAGAGGUGAAAUUCGUAGAUAUUCGGAAGAACACCAGUGGCGAAGGCGACUUACUGGACACAUAUUGACGCUGAGGUGCGAAAGCGUGGGGAGCAAACAGG
rnacentral:rRNA from 1 species